GCGCACGGUAAGGCAUCUUACAGUGUGAAAAGAUUUAUUGGAUAAGGAUGGACCCGCGUCUGAUUAGCUAGUUGGUGAGGUAACGGCUCACCAAGGCGACGGUCAGUAGCCGGACUGAGAGGUCGGACGGCCACAUUGGGACUGAGAGACGGCCCAAACUCCUACGGGAGGCAGCAGUGGGGGAUAUUGCACAAUGGGGGGAACCCUGAUGCAGCGACGCCGCGUGAGUGAAGAAGUAUUUCGGUAUGUAGAGCUCUAUCGACAGGGAAGAAAGGCCCCGCAAGGGGAGAUGACGGUACCUGAAUAAGAAGCCCCGGCUAACUACGUGCCAGCAGCCGCGGUAAUACGUAGGGGGCAAGCGUUAUCCGGAUUUACUGGGUGUAAAGGGAGCGCAGACGGAUUUGCAAGUCUGAAGUGAAACCCCACGGCUCAACUGUGGGCUUGCUUUGGAAACUGUAGAUCUGGAGUACUGGAGAGGUAAGCGGAAUUCCUGGUGUAGCGGUGAAAUGCGUAGAUAUCAGGAGGAACACCGGAGGCGAAGGCGGCUUACUGGACAGAUACUGACGUUGAGGCUCGAAGG
rnacentral:rRNA from 1 species